rnacentral:rRNA from 1 species
GACGAACGCUGGCGGCGUGCUUAACACAUGCAAGUCGAGCGAUGAAGCUUCCUUCGGGAAGUGGAUUAGCGGCGGACGGGUGAGUAACACGUGGGCAACCUGCCUCAAAGAGGGGAAUAGCCCUCCGAAAGGAGGAUUAAUACCGCAUAAAGUUAGAGUUUCGCAUGAAACUUUAACCAAAGGAGUAAUCUGCUUUGAGAUGGGCCCGCGUCCCAUUAGAUAGUUGGUAGGUAAAGCCUACCAAGUCAACGAUCGGUAGCCGGACUGAGAGGUUGACCGGCCACAUUGGGACUGAGACACGGCCCAGACUCC